AGAGAUUUCAAAUUGGGGCCAUGGCAAACUCAAACUCAGGCAUGGGAAUCCACCCAAAGAACCCUGCGCAGCCCGAUAUCAGUAGCAGUGGCAGCUCGAGUUAUUCGUUUAGCUCUUCUCUCUCCUUUGCUGCCUACUUAACUUGUAAAGACCGUGAACCCAAUUCUGGGGGUCUGAUCAAAACAGGAGACCAAGGAUUCGAGUUUGGUCCGAUUUGUUGCGAUGAUCAUGAUGGUGGCAGUGGCAGUGGCAGGCGAAGGAUCAGAGAUGAUGAUGGGCAGAGAUGGUUGGUGGUAAGAAACAACAGUAUCAGAAGAGGGGGUCGAAGGAUCAAAGAUGAAGAAGAGGAGUCGUCGUCGUCGACGUCGUGGUCGAGCGUGUUUCGGUCGUUUGUUUCGCCGUGCAGGGAGUGCCGUGCCAGCAAGCCGAGUGCUGUAAUUGAAGCGCAAGCGCAUCCCAUUCAAAGGGGAUGUAUCAUGUAUUUAAUAGAAAUGCGUGUUUGUAUUUUAGUUCAGAUAGGCUGAAACGAAAUGGGUCCGGUAAAAUUACCUCUAACUAACCUAACGAAACCCAGUUCUACACCAAUCUAGAAACGCGAAUGCUUCCCAAAGCUCUUUGGUGAAGUCCAUUCCUUUGCAAGGUCCACCUUUGACUCCAGUGUUGACUCAACACUUCCAACAAAAUCUAAGUUCGAUUUGAUAACAUUUUUUUAAAUUAAGUUCAUAGAUAU